UCCGUAGGUGGCCUUCUAAGUCAGACGUGAAAUCCCUCAGCUUAACUGGGGAACUGCGUCUGAGACUGGGAGGCUUGAGUGCAGGAGAGGAACGCGGAAUUCCAGGUGUAGCGGUGAAAUGCGUAGAUAUCUGGAGGAACACCGGUGGCGAAGGCGGCGUUCUGGACUGUUACUGACACUGAGGAACGAAAGCCAGGGAGCAAGCG
rnacentral:rRNA from 1 species